rnacentral:rRNA from 1 species
GAUGAACGCUGGCGGCGUGCUUAACACAUGCAAGUCGAACGGACUUAUUUAGGAGCUUGCUUUUGAAUAAGUUAGUGGCGGACGGGUGAGUAACGCGUGGGUAACCUGCCGUAUGCUGGGGGACAACAGUUGGAAACGACUGCUAAUACCGCAUAAGCGCACGGAGUCGCAUGACUCAGUGUGAAAAACUCCGGUGGCAUACGAUGGACCCGCGUCUGAUUAGGCAGUUGGCGAGGUAACGGCUCACCAAACCGACGAUCAGUAGCCGGCCUGAGAGGGUGAACGGCCACAUUGGGACUGAGACACGGCCCAAACUCC